rnacentral:rRNA from 1 species
ACCGGCGCACGGGUGCGUAACGCGUAUGCAAUCUACCUUAUACUGGGGCAUAGCCCGGAGAAAUUCGGAUUAACUCCCCAUAGUAUUAUUGAGUGGCAUCAUUUGAUAAUUAAAGGUUACGGUAUAAGAUGAGCAUGCGUCCCAUUAGCUGGAUGGUGAGGUAACGGCUCACCAUGGCAACGAUGGGUAGGGGGCCUGAGAGGGUGGUCCCCCACACUGGUACUGAGACACGGACCAGACUCCUACGGGAGGCAGCAGUGAGGAAUAUUGGUCAAUGGGCGCAAGCCUGAACCAGCCAUGCCGCGUGCAGGAAGACGGUCCUAUGGAUUGUAAACUGCUUUUAUUGGGGAAUAAACCUUUCUACGUGUAGGAAGCUGAAGGUACCCAAUGAAUAAGCACCGGCUAACUCCGUGCCAGCAGCCGCGGUAAUACGGAGGGUGCAAGCGUUAUCCGGAAUCAUUGGGUUUAAAGGGUCCGCAGGCGGGAAAAUAAGUCAGUGGUGAAAUCUUACAGCUUAACUGUGAAACUGCCAUUGAUACUGUUUUUCUUGAAUUCGAUCGGAGUGGGCGGAAUGUGACAUGUAGCGGUGAAAUGCUUAGAUAUGUCACAGAACACCGAUAGCGAAGGCAGCUCACUAGGUCUGGAUUGACGCUCAGGGACGAAAGCGUGGGGGAGCACACAGGAUUAGAUACCCUGGUAGUCCACGCCGU